rnacentral:rRNA from 1 species
AUAACACUGAAUCGUACCCCAAACCGACACAGGUGGUCAGGUAGAGAAUACCAAGGCGCUUGAGAGAACUCGGGUGAAGGAACUAGGCAAAAUGGUGCCGUAACUUCGGGAGAAGGCACGCUGGCAUGUAGGUGAAGUCCUUCGCGGAUGGAGCCGAAGCCAGUCGAAGAUACCAGCUGGCUGCAACUGUUUAAUAAAAACACAGCACUCUGCAAACACGAAAGUGGACGUAUAGGGUGUGACGCCUGCCCGGUGCUGGAAGGUUAAUUGAUGGGGUCAGCCGCAAGGCGAAGCUCUUGAUCGAAGCCCCAGUAAACGGCGGCCGUAACUAUAACGGUCCUAAGGUAGCGAAAUUCCUUGUCGGGUAAGUUCCGACCUGCACGAAUGGCGUAAUGAUGGCCAGGCUGUCUCCACCCGAGACUCAGUGAAAUUGAACUCGCUGUGAAGAUGCAGUGUACCCGCG